rnacentral:rRNA from 1 species
AUUGAACGCUGGCGGCAGGCCUAACACAUGCAAGUCGAACGAGAGGCGGACGGGUGAGUAAUGAAUGGGCAUCGGGCUGAGGGAGGGGGAUAAGGACGGGAAACUGACGCUGAUACCGUGUACAAUAGCCUAGGCCCAAGUGGGAUUAGGGAGUUGGGGGGGUAAUGGCCGACCAAGCCGACGAUCUGUAGCUGGUCUGAGAGGAUGACCAGCCACACCGGAACUGAGACACGGCCCAGACUCCUACGGGAGGCAGCAGUGGGGAAUAUUGGGCAAUGGGCGCAACCUGACGCAGCCAUGCCGCGUGAAUGAAGAAGGUCUUCGGGUUGUAAAGUUCUUUAGGUGACGAGGCGUUACCCACAGAAGAAGCACCGGCUAACUCCGUGCCAGCAGCCGCGGUAAUAC